GCAUGACGGCGCUGGCCUCGAGAUGCGACGAGACCACCACACUCUUGUUGUUGUUGUUAUUAGAACUGGCACCGAGUGCAAGGUGUCAUCCAAGUUCCCCGAUAGGGGCGACAUCGGAAGAAACUUCCACGAGCGGCGAUGGUACAUCCUCGUCGACUUCUUCAUCGUCAACUUCUUCAUCGUCAUCUUCUUCGUCAUCCUCGUCCUCGUCUUCAUCGUCAACAUCUUCUUCUUCUUCUUCUUCUUCAUCUUCAACAUCUUCAUCGUCUUCUUCCUCUUCUUCUUCUUCUUCAUCGUCAAGAAUUACGAUUGCGAGUACAUCAUCGUCUUACGACGAAAUUUUAACGUUAUCAACGAGAUAGCAUUCGCAGAAGACGGCGUGGGUGAAAGAAGUUAUGAUCCCGCCAGUCUUCGGCAACAUUAUGUCUAACGAGGACGCCGUUAGCUCGGCAACGGCGUCAACGAGGAGCAUAUUCGAGGAGAACAUGACGUGGUAUAGUUCUACAACGGUUCCCGGGACAACAACUUCAUCAUUUUCUACGAUAAACGUGGAUAACGUGGAAGAAGAGGAUAGAACGGAAAUUAAUUUAACAAGUCUUACCGAUUUUGCCGUCGGUUGGACCAGCGAUUGGAACAACGACACCACAGAAACUACUAUUGAAGAUAAUAAUAAUAAUAGUAGUAGUAGUAAUAGUAGUAGAAGGAGGAUUGGCGGAAAAAUCGUGUCAUCGGAAGAGAACGGUACUUUGAACGAUCCGAUUGAGAGGAUCGGCGAACAGCCGAGAGGAGGAGGAGAAGGAGGAGGUGGAGGUGGAGGAGGAGGUGGAAGAGAAAAUCCCCUCGGCUGUGGCUGCGACAUAGAAGAUUCUUCAUUCAUUUCAAGUAUCUCAAAUAGAAGUACGUUUGAGAUCUUCACAGGUGGUUCCAGCCUUGGCGUCGAUCUUCUAUUUGGUAUAACCUCAGACACGAUGGAAGAAGACUUUGCCGAUUCAUACUCGAACGAUUCCAUAUUUAACGGGAGUAUGCAAUAUCCAUUUAAUAAUAAUAAUAAUAAUAAUGAUAGCAACAACGAGACAUUGAUCGUUUACGGUGAUAGUAUGUAUCCAUCCGGAUAUACAUUGCCGCAUAUCAUUUUGGCAUCUAUCAUUGCCACAUUACUGAUGAUAAUCAUCGUAGUUGGUAAUAUGUUAGUGAUAAUAGCUAUUGCUACGGAAAAGGCAUUGAAAAAUAUUCAAAACUGGUUUAUAGCCAGUUUAGCUGUUGCCGAUUUUUUCUUGGGUCUCAUUAUAAUGCCAUUUUCAUUAGCUAACGAGAUUAUGGGUUAUUGGAUUUUUGGGUAUUGGUGGUGCGACAUUUAUUCGGCGAUGGAUGUACUACUUUGUACGGCUAGCAUCAUGAACCUAUGCCUGAUAAGUCUUGAUAGGUUCUGGAGCAUUACACAAGCUGUUGAUUAUCUGAAGAAAAGAACACCGGCCAGGGCGGCACUUAUGAUUGCCCUCGUCUGGCUAUUAUCCGCCCUUGUUUGUAUACCCCCGUUGCUCGGUUGGAAAAGGCCAUCCCCGGAGGAGGAUUAUCCAAAAUGCAAGUUGUCGGAGGAUAUUGGUUACGUAUUAUACUCGGCACUCGGGAGUUUCUACAUUCCCUCUUGCAUCAUGGUGUUCGUAUACAUUCGCAUUUAUUUCGCAGCGAAAGCUAGAGCACGUCGUGGAAUAAGAAAACCACCACGACCACGUCCAAUAGCGGUACCACCAGAAUCCCCCGAUAUCAGACAGACGAGUUUCACACAGAGUACUACGGCACUGGAUUCUAGAAGAACAGGGCCAGGUGGUGCCGGGGGUAGUUCUGGAACACUCAUGGAAAAUGUCGCGACUAUAGAAAAUCAACCUGUCCAAAUACCAAUAGUAACCUGCGAUUAUGCCAGUGACGUGAGCACGUCCGAGGCGGACCCAGCUGGUGGGAACAGCAUACCAAUGGAGGAAAAAGACACCUUAAAGGUAACGAUACCCGUGCCAGUUCAAAAGACCAACCUGAAAGCAAGUUUGUCGGUGAACGGGGACGGUCAAUCUAGUCAGGCAGUUGUUGCAAGAUGCAGAGCACCUAGCGUUGGCAUUGACACUGAUAUGGUAUCAGAAUUCGACCCUUCCUCAUCUGACAGUGGUGUCGUAUCAAGGUGUGCCGUUGUGAAACCAUUAAAGUUACGACUUUGUCAGCCGAUUUUUGGUCGGAAAGCUACCGGUAAGGUCAAGAGGGAACACGCUGAUACGUCUAAGCAACAAGGAAAAGAAGAAAUCAUGAUAGAUGCUAAAUCGUCCAAACCACGUGAUCCCGAAAGAGAAAAAAAACGCAUUGCCAGGAAAAAAGAGAAACGAGCAACCCUAAUCUUAGGAUUCAUCAUGGGCAGCUUUAUUGCUUGCUGGUUACCUUUUUUCCUUCUUUACAUCGUUAAACCCCUCUUCCCUAAUCUCAAUAUACCAACCCAAGCAUUCGUCAUUGCCUUUUGGCUUGGUUACAUGAACUCAGCAUUGAAUCCUUUUAUCUAUACCGUUUUCAACAAGGACUUCCGUCGGGCAUUCCGUCGUAUACUUUUCAAAUGAAAGACAGCUUCUCUCCGUGAGGAUAACAAAUAACAAAACGCCACGGAUUCGAGACGAUGAUUUAUAUAUAUAUAUGCAUAUGUAUGUUUCAUCUAUGAUAUAAUCCAUCCUUUAAAUGAUCUUAACUAUUUUAGAAAGAUCUAAGGAAAAUCGAAUACAUCAAAUUCGAUUUACAUUAACGAAUCUCGAAAAAUGAAGCGUGAAAAACCUUCGGAGAGAGAGAGAGAGAGAGAGAGAUAGAGAGAGAAAUGCGAAUGGAAUGAACGAGAUAAAAUUUAGUCUUGUUGACUAAUAAAACAAUCAAAUAUCAAGGAGAUGAUCUUUGUUAGAAAAAUCAGUAUCCCUUAUAUAUCCCAAGAGAACACAUGGAAUUUAUUGACUCGCUCAUCUCGAAUAAAAAUAGAACAAUGAUCGGGCGUGAAUACGAUGAACGAGACUAAUGCAACCAAAGUUACGCUAUAUCAGAGAACCAAGUCAGAGAGAGAUAUUAGGGGUAAUUAUUUCGAAUUAUUUUCAUCAAUUUCCAGUGGAACGUACUGUCGAACAAAAAACCUUACACACAUGACGAAACAAAGAAAAAUUUGUUAAACUUAUUAAAAGUACGAUUAAUAUUUUGACGUGUUAAUAUAAGUAAGUUUAACUUUUUCCUUCUUCUAAUUUAUCCUUCUCAUUAAAACUUUGUUUCUUGCCAAUUUUCACAUUCAUUUUUGACAAUCCUUUUAUUGGCUUUGUUAAAACCAAUUUGUCACGUAUAAAUUAACGAUAUUAAAGAUAAUUUUUUAUAAUUUCUUAUCAAUAAUAACAUUCAAUGUAAAUAUUCGUGAAAUCUAAGUAGUUUACAGUUUUCAUUGACACCCGGUAUACCUACCGUUUUUUUUUCUUUUUUUUUUUUUUUUGACAACCCUCGGAAUAUUUGAAAAGUUGAGGUAAAAUAACUCGUGUCAAGAUUCGACGGAUCGUCGAAUAAUGGAGAUUGGUUGUAAAAAAAUAAGAAAAAAAAAUGAAAAGUGUCAAUAUGGAUUUCAUUGAUAAGAUUCUGGCACAUUUGGAUUAUUAUUAGCAUAGACGAGUUUCGAUGCAACAUCU
rnacentral:misc_RNA from 1 species